AGGCUGUGUGGACCGAUUUUCCUGCUCCUGUCUUUUGUUGUGUUGCUGUUUGCGAUCAGGUCUUCAACACCCCAUGAUUAUCUUUGCUGCAGAUAUUUCGAGGCCUAUCAUCGCUCCUCACCAGAAGAAGAGUCUUGUCCUCAAGGUUUAAGUUGAUGAAUUGGUCUUGCAGUUCUUUUAAUACCCAUGCUUCUUGGUUUUCCAUUUAUCUAGGUGCCCGUGCUAGGUGUCUU
rnacentral:lncRNA from 1 species